GACUUUGGAGAAUUCUGUUAAAUCAGAUGCCGAAGGGGCAAGGCGAUAUUUUCGUUAAUCUCUCAGGCAAAAGGACAAAGGG
rnacentral:ncRNA from 1 species